CUACGGGGGGCAGCAGUGGGGAAUAUUGCACAAUGGAGGAAACUCUGAUGCAGCAACGCCGCGUGGAGGAUGACACUUUUCGGAGCGUAAACUCCUUUUAUAUAGGAAGAAGAUGGCGGUACUAUAUGAAUAAGCGCCGGCUAACUCCGUGCCAGCAGCCGCGGUAAUACGGAGGGCGCAAGCGUUACUCGGAAUCACUGGGCGUAAAGAGCGUGUAGGCGGAUUAAAAAGUCAGAAGUGAAAUCCUAAAGCUUAACUAUAGAACUGCUUCUGAAACUCUUAAUCUAGAAUAUGGGAGAGGUAGAUGGAAUUUCUGGUGUAGGGGUAAAAUCCGUAGAGAUCAGAAGGAAUACCGAUUGCGAAGGCGAUCUACUAGAACAUUAUUGACGCUGAGACGCGAAAGCGUGGGGAGGAAACAGGAUUAGAUACCCUUGUAGUC
rnacentral:rRNA from 1 species